UCCUGGUGGCUCAGACAGUAAAGAAUUUGCCUGUAAUGCAGGAGACCCAGGUUCGAUCCCUGGGUCAGGAA
rnacentral:tRNA from 1 species